rnacentral:misc_RNA from 1 species
CGAAACGCGAAAGGUAAUGCGAAUUGCAGAAUCAGUGAGUCAUCGAAUCUUUGAACGCACAUUGCGCCUCUCGGUAUUCCGGGAGGCACGCCUGUUCGAGCGCCAUUACAAACUCCAAGCGUGGCUUGAUGUUGGGCGAUGUCUUUUUGCGAGAGCGGAGACACGCCUGGAACGCGUUGGCGCCGCCGCCGGACCACGAGCGUAGCAAGACGAGAGUCAAUCGCAUCGAUUUGGAUUCCGACGGAGGUCCGCCAUGGGACUGCACUUUCGAGUGUAAGUUCACAACUUCUCUCAAGUUUGGCCUCGGAUCAUGCGGGGAUACCCGCUGAACUUAAGC